AAAAUGGAGUACUAGGGUUCCGGCAUUGUAGAAGAUGCGACUGGUCCGAGAGUACUCGACCUUUCAAGCUGGGUUCUCUCAGAGUAAACGAACUUCAGUAUUAAUCUUUUGUAAGGUUACACGGCGGGACAAAAGCCCGGGAGGA
rnacentral:sRNA from 2 species